UUGAACGCUGGCGGAAUGCUUUACACCUGCAAGUCGAACGGCAGCACGGGGGCAACCCUGGUGGCGAGUGGCGAACGGGUGAGUAAUACAUCGGAACGUGCCCGGUCGUGGGGGAUAACGUAGCGAAAGUUACGCUAAUACCGCAUACGAUCUGAGGAUGAAAGCGGGGGACCUUCGGGCCUCGCGCGAUCGGAGCGGCCGAUGUCAGAUUAGGUAGUUGGUGGGGUAAAGGCCUACCAAGCCGACGAUCUGUAGCUGGUCUGAGAGGACGACCAGCCACACUGGGACUGAGACACGGCCCAGACUCCUACGGGAGGCAGCAGUGGGGAAUUUUGGACAAUGGGCGCAAGCCUGAUCCAGCCAUUCCGCGUGCAGGACGAAGGCCUUCGGGUUGUAAACUGCUUUUGUAUGGAACGAAAAGGCUCUGGCUAAUACCUGGGGCUCAUGACGGUACCGUAAGAAUAAGCACCGGCUAGCUACGUG
rnacentral:rRNA from 1 species